rnacentral:lncRNA from 1 species
UCAAAUCUAUGCAUUGAGGACAGACUGAUGAUAAACAUCUCUCAAAAUCUAUGUUGCUAAACUGAUUUGAUGCUGGUUGCAAAACAACAUAGUCCAAAGAAAUUCAAUCUAAUAAGUCCAUUUCAAGGCCCAGUGGGAUAAAAAAGGAAAACAAAAGGGUAUUGAGUUGAUUAAGUGACGAUAUCUCCUCGAUGCAAGGCAUUUUUACCACUGAACAGUUUGCAUUCAUGAACACUUCAUUAUAUGUCCUGGAUGCAAGGCAUUUUUACCACUGAACAGUUUGCAUUCAUGAAAACUUCACUAUAUGUUGAACUGAUAAGUGGACCAUAGCCACAUGUGAAUCUCACAGACAACAGUAC